rnacentral:rRNA from 1 species
CGGGCGUCUUAACAUGCAAGUCGAGCGAUCGGACGAGAAGCUUGCUUCUCUGAUGUUAGCGGCGGACGGGUGAGUAACACGUGGAUAACCUACCUAUAAGACUGGGAUAACUUCGGGAAACCGGAGCUAAUACCGGAUAAUAUUUUGAACCGCAUGGUUCAAAAGUGAAAGACGGUCUUGCUGUCACUUAUAGAUGGAUCCGCGCUGCAUUAGCUAGUUGGUAAGGUAACGGCUUACCAAGGCAACGAUGCAUAGCCGACCUGAGAGGGUGAUCGGCCACACUGGAACUGAGACACGGUCCAGACUCCUACGGGAGGCAGCGUAGGGAAUCUUCCGCAAUGGGCGAAAGCCUGACGGAGCAACGCCGCGUGAGUGAUGAAGGUCUUCGGAUCGUAAAACUCUGUUAUUAGGGAAGAACAUAUGUGUAAGUAACUGUGCACAUCUUGACGGUACCUAAUCAGAAAGCCACGGCUAACUACAA